rnacentral:rRNA from 1 species
UUGCGGUUAAAAAGCUCGUAGUUGGAUCUCGGUGAACAGGGGGCGGUUCGUUAUUUGACGGUACUGCCCCAUUUGUUCGUAUUUUUGCAAGAGGAUUGGGGGUCCCCUUUGUUGGGUGUCUCCGGUCGCUUGCAGGUUUACUUUGAAAAAAUUAGAGUGCUCAAAGCAGGCUUACACGCUUGAAUAUUCGUGCAUGGAAUAAUAGAAUAGGAAGUCGUUUCUAUUUUGUUGGUUUUCGGAAAAUGACUUAAUGAUUAAUAGGGACAAUCGGGGGCAUUAGUAUUCAAACGACAGAGGUGAAAUUCUUGGACCGUUUGAAGACUAACUACUGCGAAAGCAUUUGCCAAGAGUGUUUUCAUUAAUCAAGAACGAAAGUUAGAGGUUCGAAGGCGAUCAGAUACCGCCCUAGUUCUAACCAUAAACGAUGCCAGCUAGCGAUCUGCGGGUGUGUAAAAACAAGACCCCGCAGGGAGCUUCCGGGAAACCAAAGCUUGUGGGUUCCGGGGGAAGUAUGGU